rnacentral:rRNA from 1 species
UACGAAGGGGGCUAGCGUUGUUCGGAAUCACUGGGCGUAAAGCGUAUGUAGGCGGAUUGUUAAGUCAGGGGUGAAAUCCCGAGGCUCAACCUCGGAACUGCCUUUGAUACUGGCUGUCUUGAGUCCGGGAGAGGUGAGUGGAACUCCUAGUGUAGAGGUGAAAUUCGUAGAUAUUAGGAAGAACACCAGUGGCGAAGGCGGCUCACUGGCCCGGAACUGACGCUGAAAUACGAAAAGCGUGGGGAGCAAACAGGG